AUUAUAUGGAUCAAGGUGCUUGGAACUUUUGGAUACACAACAAAGGUCCUCUUGGGUGGUCGACUCAGUAUGUAGCCACAUUUGGAACCAACCCAUGGAAGCAUGAUGCAGCUAAACCUUUCAACCUGCAGCUUCAUGAUCUCAGUAAAAAGUUGCAAGGCCAAUAUUCUGAUGCAAAUGUCACAUAUGUUGAUAUCUUCUCUGGUUUUAGCAACCUAUUAUGGCUUGCUUUGGGUAUGGAGGUCCACCUUUGAACUAUAACAGUCGGGUUUUACCCUGCUUUAAAUUUCAGGACACAUUAGUACUUUGCAAAGCUACAUUGACCUGGUUUGUCUCCGAAGAUGGGUAGUAUUAUCCAGCAUGUCCCUCAUGCUUGAAGCAAAUGAGGCAAAAGCCACAAAGUGAAAUCGUAAUCUGUCUAGAGCAUGAAAUACAGCAAGUUGUUCAAAGCAACAGGCUCUCAAAUGAGAUGCCGAACGAGCUGUUUCUUGCCGCCAAUGAUGCAACUGACAUGAAGAAAUCAACGGAGGACACUUCUAAGGAGUUAAAGUAGUUGGUUCCAACUGCAAACAUAUAAAUUUUUUGCUCAAGUCUAAAUCAUUUUUUGCUAAAGUAGUUGGUUAGCAUCUCUUAUUUUGAAAUUUGUAAAUACACUUCUGGUCAAGAUACCAGAAUUUGGAAUCUGUAAAACAAUAUUAUCUUU